GGGAAGGAAAAGGAGAAGCCGGUGAAUAAUGGCGGUUAUUCGAUAUUUAAUCCUCUCGUUUAUCUUCGUUCUGUUUGUCCGAGAAGACGAGAGACCGUAACCGGACCCUAAUUUGAUUCCAGGAUACCUCCGUAUAAUGGCCGUGGAGGGUGGAAGAAGCAGAGGAUGAGGUAGAACAUGCCGAUGUUCAAGAUAGAAUUCUGUAGAGAUGGGCGAUAUAUUUGAGUGACCAACCCCAUCUGGAAGAUGAAUUUAAGGUCUUGCAAAGAAGUGAAACAAGCAUG